rfam:Peptoniphilus sp. BV3C26 contig00028, whole genome shotgun sequence.
CCGUGCUAAAUGGGGAAUUAGCGAUGCCUUGUAACCUGCAAUUCGCUGUAGCAGGAUUGAAGCCUUGUGGAGGAUAAAUUUUUGUAUAGUCAGCCCCAUAAAAGUGGUGUUGAAGAUUGGGUCCUACGCAACGAAUGCUCAUGAACCGUGUCAGGUCUUGACGGAAGCAGCACUAAGUGAGAAGUUUCGUGUGCCGUGGGAGUGCCUGGUUGGAGCUAACUCUAUGGGUACCGUGUAUGAAUUUUAUUCGAUAUAAGGUGCACGG